CCUACGGGAGGCAGCAGUGAGGAAUAUUGGUCAAUGGUCGGGAGACUGAACCAGCCAAGCCGCGUGAGGGAUGAAGGUACAGAGUAUCGUAAACCUCUUUUGUCAGGGAACAAAGGCGGGGACGCGUCCCCGGAUGAGUGUACCUGAAGAAAAAGCAUCGGCUAACUCCGUGCCAGCAGCCGCGGUAAUACGGAGGAUGCGAGCGUUAUCCGGAUUUAUUGGGUUUAAAGGGUGCGUAGGCGGAAUAUCAAGUCAGCGGUAAAAAUUCGGGGCUCAACCCCGUCGGGCCGUUGAAACUGAUGUUU
rnacentral:rRNA from 1 species